AGAGGGCUUUUGGAGAGCUGGACAUGUGGAGGCCGACAGGAAGGUGAAGAAGUCAUCUGCGUGCGGUGAGGGUGGCGCACCCCAACUCCAUGGGGACAGAAGGUCCUGCAUUUAGGACCCUUCCAGACCUCACACCUAUGUAUCUCUUCAUCUGGCUGAUUACUUAUAUCCUUUCAAAGACGCUUCUUAGUAAACUGGACCACCCGAUAGGGUACUGAGGAUGGCUUCUGACCUGGAGGCAUCAAGGACCUGAAGGCAGUAACCAUUUCAGAGGACAGCCACAUCCCUCAAAUUACAAACAUCUAAAAUGUCCAUUAACUGUUGAGUGGAUAUAUAAAUUCUGAUGUUUUAUAAAAUGGCAUACCCUACAUCAAUGAAGAUGAGUCAAUUACUUCUGCAUAAAACAAUAUACAUGCAUCUAACCAAUAUGACACUGAGUGAAAAAAGACAUCCAUAGAAGAGCACAACUCACCAUUCAGGAGAAGGACAUAUUUUCUUCCCCGUCUGCCAUGAUUCAUAGAUGGGACCUUCAAAAAGUGCUUCUAGGUGAAGAAAAAUCACCACUGAAUUUGAAACAAAUAGAAUCUACACCUGUUGAAGGAGAAACUUCAAGUAUAAGAAACUUCUCUGAGAGGGUCUCUCCAGGAUGUAACCCUGAUGUCUGCUGGCUGCAUACUCACCUGGAGGCUUGAUUAGGGAGGAGUCCUGACAUUUAUUCAUUGAUUUACUGCUUGCCUGGAGCUUGUUUCUGUCCAUGUAAUGUCGCUCAUUGUCUGUGAGGAGACUGAGAUCUGUUUUAGUUCCUGUGAUUCAUCUGCCCUGAGGCCAGGUCAGGGGUAUCUUCUCCUAGAAUGAAUUCCUUCCUCCUCGCUGUCCAUAAGCCCACUAUAUUUCUCUGCAGCCAGGAACCUCUGGGGAGCAUCCCUGUUAACUGCCAUGCUCACACUGGAGCUCAGCCCUGGGCCUCUUUUGCUGACAACUCCACUCUUCCAAGGAGGCCAAAAUCUGGUGGGGUCUGAGGACUCACCCUGAGCUGCUGGGAUCACAGGAAAGACCCUGCAGCCUUCGCCACAGGAUCUGGUCCAGGGACCCUUUGGAGACUUCAAAAAGAUAGUCACCCUUCUCUGUCAACUGAGGAGAGUUAAUUUUCAUUCCCUGGAGACAUACACAAAAUCUGUUCACUGGACAGCUCUGCCCAAUGCAACCAGGGGGUUUUCUUCUUCAACGUCUCUCUAUCUGCAGUGCCACCCUUGUGCAUGAAGAUGAUCAUGGUUUUCCUGACAACACUGCUUCAGAACCCAGAUUCUUCUGUUAUGGCGAUGGCCUCUCAAAAGAGCCUUUUAGUGAUGAAAACAACUUCCAACAUAGAACUGUUUCUACGCUGUGAUUAAAUGCAGGCAUUUGAUAUAGAGCCAAACACCUGAGGAAGACGAAGUGACUGGGUCUGGCUUUAGAACUACACGGUGUUAAGACCCAUGUCUUUCUAUGUCUGGUACGGCUUCCCUUUUGGGAAGAAGAGCGACAAGAUCAGUCUCCCUCCACUCUAGAGAAACCACCAUGAGGGUCAUGGCAGUCUUGAAUUGCGAGCUAUGGAGAUGUAGUGACUCUUCCAUGUUGCUGCUGUGCAUCAUGGUCCCCCUUGAAAUUCACAAGCAUUUCGGGUCCUGAAAUCCUGUGAUGCAGAAGGAGACCCUUCUCCCUUUUGAAACACAAAUUCCAAGUGACCAGUCCUUAAAGUAGGUUAUGCUUGGGUACAGUUUUAAUUUAAUCUCACAACCCUUAGCAUGAGAACUGAUACGCCGCAUAUCUCUAAAUAAUCAUCUGAAUUCAGGUUUUGUUUUAUGUCUUUGGAGCCUGAUACCAAAAGCAUUUUCGGUAUAGAAGAUUCUGAGAUUGUUUUCCUCUGACAGAGUCAUCCAUAAUCAACCAAGCGAUGUGCCACAUUCAAGAAGGCCCAGGUGUCAACCCAGGACAGACAGAAGAAUUUAUUACAUGGAAUAAAGAGUGAAGCUUAAGCCAAAAGAUCCUCUGGUGAUUUUUCUUCUUCAUCCUUCAUUCUUGACAAUUAAUUAAUCAAUGUAUGAAUAUGGAUUGAACUGUCAUUAUUAAAUAUCUUUUAUAUUCUU